UACGUAGGGACCAAGCGUUGUUCGGAUUUACUGGGCGUAAAGGGCGCGUAGGCGGCCUAGCAAGUCACUUGUGAAAUCUCCGGGCUUAACUCGGAACUGCCAAGUGAAACUGCUGGGCUAGAGUGCAGAAGGGGCAAUCGGAAUUCUUGGUGUAGCGGUGAAAUGCGUAGAUAUCAAGAGGAACACCUGAGGUGAAGACGGGUUGCUGGGCCGAUACUGACGCUGAGGAGCGAAAGCGUGGGGAGCAAACAGG
rnacentral:rRNA from 1 species